rfam:Clostridium celatum DSM 1785 genomic scaffold Scfld82, whole genome shotgun sequence.
AGAACCUUUAAAGGAAUCCUGAGAGAUUCAUAAGGAAGUUGUAAUGAUACCAAUAUUAUAGGAUUACUAUACCUUCCUUUAAAUUAAAGGAAGGUUUUUUGU